rnacentral:rRNA from 1 species
UGCCAGCAGCCGCGGUAAUACGCAGGGGGCUAGCGUUGUUCGGAAUUACUGGGCGUAAAGCGCACGUAGGCGGCUUGGUCAGUUAGAUGUGAAAGCCCAGGGCUCAACCUUGGAACUGCAUUUAAUACUGCCAAACUUGAGAUCGGAAGAGGAAAGCGGAAUUUCUAGUGUAGAGGUGAAAUUCGUAGAUAUUAGAAGGAACAUCAGAGGCGAAGGCGGCUUUCUGGUCCGAUACUGACGCUGAGGGACGAAAGCGUGGGUAGCAAACAGGAUUAGAUA